rnacentral:rRNA from 1 species
UACGAAGGGGGCUAGCGUUGCUCGGAAUCACUGGGCGUAAAGCGCGCGUAGGCGGACCGGAAAGUCGGUUGUGAAAUCCCUGGGCUCAACCCAGGAACUGCAUCCGAAACUCCCGGUCUCGAGUGACGGAGAGGAUAGUGGAAUUCCCGGUGUAGAGGUGAAAUGCGUAGAUAUCUGGAGGAACACCGGUGGCGAAGGCGGCAUCCUGGACCGAGAUUGACGCUGAGGCGCGAAAGCCAGGGGAGCAAACGGG